CCACAUCACUACCUGACAAGGCCAUGGCCCAGCAGACCACCCAUCCCCUUUCUCCUUCACCUCCGGCACCAUCGCUCCCUGCGGACAACAACGAUUUGGCGUGUUUGCUUCGCAGAGAUGUUUCUUAGACUGGAAUCAUGUUCCCUUUGUGCUGGCCAAUUGACGAUGAUUAAUUUCCAAUUGAUUUUCUCUUCUUUCUAUCAUCUUCAGACUUUUCAUUCUCUCAAUUGGAAACUGUGACCAUCCCGUGUUUUGUAUGAAUGGAUGCAAAGAUGUGAUCUUUAUACUAAUAACGUCAAUAAAUAGAGUAGUAUUCAAUCAA